rnacentral:rRNA from 1 species
UUGAACGCUGGCGGCAUGCCUUACACAUGCAAGUCGAACGGUAACAGGUCUUCGGAUGCUGACGAGUGGCGAACGGGUGAGUAAUACAUCGGAACGUGCCCGAGAGUGGGGGAUAACGGAGCGAAAGCUUUGCUAAUACCGCAUACGAUCUACGGAUGAAAGCAGGGGACCGCAAGGCCUUGCGCUCAUGGAGCGGCCGAUGGCAGAUUCGGUAGUUGGUGGGAUAAAAGCUUACCAAGCCGACGAUCUGUAGCUGGUCUGAGAGGACGACCAGCCACACUGGGACUGAGACACGGCCCAGACUCCUACGUGAGGCAGCAGUGGGGAAUUUUGGACAAUGGGCGCAAGCCUGAUCCAGCCAUGCCGCGUGCAGGAUGAAGGCCUUCGGGUUGUAAAGCUCUUUCGGCAGGAACGAAACGGUGCGGGCCAAUACCCCGCAUCAAUGACGGUACCUGAAGAAGAAGCACCGGCUAACUACGU